AUCAAUAAGCGGAGGAAAAGAAACCAACAGGGAUUGCCUUAGUAACGGCGAGUGAAGCGGCAACAGCUCAAAUUUGAAAUCUGGCCCCCUCGGGGUCCGAGUUGUAAUUUGUAGAGGAUGCUUCGGCGAGGGCUCCCGUCUAAGUUCCUUGGAACAGGACGUCGUAGAGGGUGAGAAUCCCGUAUGCGAUGGGUUGCCCGAGCCAUGUGAAGCUCCUUCGACGAGUCGAGUUGUUUGGGAAUGCAGCUCUAAAUGGGAGGUAAAUUUCUUCUAAAGCUAAAUACCGGCCAGAGACCGAUAGCGCACAAGUAGAGUGAUCGAAAGAUGAAAAGCACUUUGGAAAGAGAGUUAAAAAGUACGUGAAAUUGUUGAAAGGGAAGCGCUUGCAGCCAGACUCGUCCGCAGUUGCUCAGCCGGUCUCCUGACCGGUGUACUCUUCUGCGGCCGGGCCAGCAUCAGUUCGGGCGGUCGGAUAAAGGUCCCGGGAAUGUAGCUCCUCUCGGGGAGUGUUAUAGCCCGGGGCGGAAUGCGGCCAGCCCGGACUGAGGAUCUCGCUUCGGCUAGGAUGCUGGCGUAAUGGCUGUAAGCGGCCCGUCUUGAAACACGGACCAAGGAGUCUAACAUCUACGCGAGUGUUUGGGUGUCAAACCCAAGCGCGUAAUUAAAGUGAACGGAGGUGGGAACCCCUCGCGGGGUGCACCAUCGACCGAUCCUGAUGUCUUCGGAUGGAUUUGAGUAAGAGCGUAGCUGUUGGGACCCGAAAGAUGGUGAACUAUGCCUGAAUAGGGUGAAGCCAGAGGAAACUCUGGUGGAGGCUCGCAGCGGUUCUGACGUGCAAAUCGAUCGUCAAAUUUGGGUAUAGGGGCGAAAGACUAAUCG
rnacentral:rRNA from 1 species